UACGGAGGUGGCAAGCGUUAUUCGGAAUUAUUGGGCGUAAAGGGCGCGUAGGCGGCUAGAUGUGUCAAAGGUGAAAUCCCUCGGCUCAACUGAGGAACUGCCUUUGAAACUGUCUGGCUUGAGGCCGGGAGAGGGUAGCGGAAUUCCCAGUGUAGCGGUGAAAUGCGUAGAUAUUGGGAGGAACACCAGUGGCGAAGGCGGCUGCCUGGACCGGUUCUGACGCUGAGGCGCGAAAGCGUGGGUAGCAAACAGG
rnacentral:rRNA from 1 species